CGGGGAGUGGCGCAGUCUGGUAGCGCAUCUGCUUUGGGAGCAGAGGGUCGCUGGUUCGAAUCCAGUCUCCCCGACCA
rnacentral:tRNA from 4 species